rnacentral:rRNA from 1 species
AUGAUGCACACAGCCGCCGCAAACACCCCCAUAAUCACAAGUUUAUAUUUGCCAUUUGUUGUUGUUGAUGCUACUCAUACUGGUUGCAAACUACUCAUGUUUCAUGUCUGCUGCAUCAUUCCCCCCUUGCUGAGCAUUCAAAUUCUCUCUUUCUCAGUGGAUGAAAUAAAUGCAGUAAAGUUUUGUACUGAGAAAUUUGAUCAAAUGAAAAGGCUCCCUACACUAGGCAGUCGAAUUAGUACUACAUUUCCAGUACAAGUUGCUACAAUUCCUCAACUUGGAGUGAAAAACCACACGGGCAGCGUUUUGUCCGCACAAAUGUCUCUUCGUCGAAGCUCUGAUCUUCCACGGGAAACUCAUGCUCAUGGUCAUGAGCAGAGAAACGAGGAUCUGGCAGCCGAUCCGCGCGUGUACGAUGAUUGGUCGUGGUCGCUCCGGAGCAUUGGCUAUCACUGGUGCUUUUCUGGGGAUUAUCAACUUUAG